rnacentral:rRNA from 1 species
GUGAACGCUGGCGGUAGGCCUCACACCUGCCAGUCGAACGGCAGCACAGUAAGAGCUUGCUCUUACGGGUGGCGAGUGGCGGACGGGUGAGGAAUACAUCGGAAUCUACUUUUUCGUGGGGGAUAACGUAGGGAAACUUACGCUAAUACCGCAUACGACCUACGGGUGAAAGCAGGGGAUCUUCGGACCUUGCGCGAUUGAAUGAGCCGAUGUCGGAUUAGCUAGUUGGCGGGGUAAAGGCCCACCAAGGCGACGAUCCGUAGCUGGUCUGAGAGGAUGAUCAGCCACACUGGAACUGAGACACGGUCCAGACUCCUACGGGAGGCAGCAGUGGGGAAUAUUGGACAAUGGGCGCAAGCCUGAUCCAGCCAUACCGCGUGGGUGAAGAAGGCCUUCGGGUUGUAAAGCCCUUUUGUUGGGAAAGAAAAGCAGCAGGUUAAUACCCCGCUGUUCUGACGGUACCCAAAGAAUAAGCACCGGCUAACUUCGU